GAUGAAGAACGUAGCGAAAUGCGAUACGUAAUGUGAAUUGCAGAAUUCAGUGAAUCAUCGAAUCUUUGAACGCAUAUUGCGCUCUCUGGUAUUCCGGAGAGCAUGCUUGUUUGAGUAUCAGUAAACACCUCAACUUCCAUAUCUUUUUUGAAAUGGGAGUUGGACUUGAGUGAUCCCAACGCUUUUCCUCACCGAAAAGUGGCGGGUUACUUGAAAUGCAGGUGCAGCUGGACUUUUCUCUGAGCUAUAAGCAUAUCUAUUUAGUCUGCCUAAAAACAGAUUAUUACCUUUGCUGCAGCUAACAUAAAGGAGAUUAGUUCUUGUGCUGACUGAUGCAGGAUUCACAAAGACAGGCUUCGGCCGACUUUGUAAACUCGAUCUCAAAUCAAGUAAGACUACCCGCUGAACUUAAGCAUAUCAUAAGCGGAGGA
rnacentral:misc_RNA from 1 species